GAUCCUGGUUCAGGAUAAACGCUGGCGGCGCACAUAAGACAUGCAAGUCGAACGAACUUAACCAUUAGUUUACUAUUGGAGCGGUUAGUGGCGGACUGGUGAGUAACACGUAAGCAACCUGCCUAUCAGAGGGGAACAACAGUUAGAAAUGACUGCUAAUACCGCAUAUGCCUUAGAAUCACAUGGUUCAAAAGGGAAAGGAGCAAUCCGCUGAUAGAUGGGCUUGCGUCUGAUUAG
rnacentral:rRNA from 1 species